UACGGAGGGUGCAAGCGUUAUCCGGAUUUACUGGGUUUAAAGGGUGUGUAGGCGGGCUGUUAAGUCAGUGGUGAAAUCUCCGGGCUCAACCCGGAAACUGCCAUUGAUACUAAUGGUCUUGAAUUUUGUUGAGGUAGGCGGAAUAAGUCAUGUAGCCGUGAAAUGCAUAGAUAUGACUUAGAACACCAAUUGCGAAGGCAGCUUGCUAAACAAAUAUUGACGCUGAGCACGAAAGCGUGGGGAGUCAAACAGGA
rnacentral:rRNA from 1 species